rnacentral:rRNA from 1 species
ACGGGGUGCAGCAGGCGCGAAAACUUUACAAUGCUGGCAACAGCGAUAAGGGGACCUCGAGUGCCAGGAUACAAUCUUGGCUGUCGUAAUGCCUAAAAAGCAUUGCAUAGCAAGGGCCGGGCAAGACCGGUGCCAGCCGCCGCGGUAACACCGGCGGCUCGAGUGGUAACCGCUAUUAUUGGGUCUAAAGGGUCUGUAGCCGGCUGACUAAGUCUCUUGGGAAAUCUGGCAGCUCAACUGUCAGGCUUUCAGGAGAUACUGAUCGGCUCGAGACCGGGAGAGGUGAGAGGUACCUCAGGGGUAGGGGUGAAAUCUUGUAAUCCUUGAGGGACCACCAGUGGCGAAGGCGUCUCACCAGAACGGAUCUGACGGCAAGGGACGAAAGCUAGGGGCACGAACCGGAUUAGAUACCCGGGUAGUCCUAGCCGUAAACGAUACUCGCUAGGUGUCGGCCACGGUGCGACCGUGGUCGGUGCCGUAGGGAAGCCGUGAAGCGAGCCACCUGGGAAGUACGGCCGCAAGGCUGAAACUUAAAGGAAUUGGCGGGGGAGCAC